UAAAUAAAAAUUAUAUUAAAUAAAAGUUUAUAUUAUAAUUAAUAAAAAUAAUUUUAAAAUUAAAAGUUUUUGUAUAUUUUAUAGAUAAAAUAAUUUAAAUAAUAGUAAAAAGUAUAGUAAUAGAAAUUUGAAAUAUAAUUAAUUAAUAAAAAAGUAAUUUUAAUUUAAUGUACCUUUUGUAUCAGGGUUUAUUAAAAAUAGUCUAAUAAAAUUAGGUAUCUCGAAUUUAAAAGAGCUAAAUUAUUAUUAAAUUUAUUGUAUUAAAAAUAUUUUAAAUAAUAAUUUAGUAAUGAAAAGUUAAUCGUUUUUAAAUAUAUCUAGUUUCUUAAGAAAUGAAUUUAAUUCAUUAUUAAUUUUAUAUAAAUUUAAUUAUAAAAAUUUAUAUAAUUUAAUAAAAAAUUUUUUAGGGAUGAGCUUAAAAAAUUUAUUAUAAAAUAAAUUAAAUUAAAAAGUUAUAGGAUUAGAAAUUUUCAUUAAUAAAAAAAAUGUUAUAAUUUAUUAUUUAUAAAUUUAAAUUUAUAAAUUUUUAAUUUUUAUAUUAAGAUAUUUAAUAUAAUAAUUAUAUUAGAGUAAUAAUGAUAAAAUUAGUAUUAAUUUAUUUAAAAGUAAAAAAUUUAUAAAGAUAAAAAUAAGGAAUUCAGCAAAUUUAAUAUUCACCUGUUUAUCAAAAACAUGUCUUUUUGAAUAUAAUAUAAAGUCUAACCUGCCCACUGAUAAUUAUUAAAGGGCCGCGGUAUUUUGACUGUGCAAAGGUAGCAUAAUCAUUUGUCUUUUAAUUGAAGGCUGGAAUGAAUGGUUGAAUGAAAUAUUAACUGUCUCAUUUUUAAAAAAAUAAAAAUUUAGCUUUUAAGUCAAAAGGCUUAAAUGAUUUUAGAGGACGAGAAGACCCUAUAGAUCUUUAUAUUAAUAAUUUUAUUUUAGGUUAGAAAAAUAAUUAAUAAUAAUAUUAUAAAUAUUUUAUUGGGGUGAUAGGAAAAUUAAAUAAACUUUUCAUAUAUUUAUACAUUGAUUUAUGAAUUUAUGAUCCAAUAAUAUUGAUUAUAAGAUUAAGUUACCUUAGGGAUAACAGCGUAAUUUUUUUAGAGAGUUCUUAUCGAUAAAAAAGAUUGCGACCUCGAUGUUGAAUUAAAAGUUAUUUCUAGAUGCAGAAGUUUAGAGUUUAGGUCUGUUCGACCUUUGAAUUUUUACAUGAUUUGAGUUCAGACCGGUGUGAGCCAGGUCGGUUUCUAUCCUUAAUUUAUAAAAAUAUUUUAGUACGAAAGGACCAAAUAUUGAAAAUAAUUUUUAAUAUAAAGAAUAAUAUUAAUAUUAUAA
rnacentral:rRNA from 1 species